GGACGGGUGGCGCAAUUGGCAACGCAGCAGAGUGCUAAUCUGUCGGCCCGCACGGGUCUCAGGGUUCAACUCCCUGCCCGUCCGCCA
rnacentral:tRNA from 1 species